AUGGGAACCAUCCGGGAUCCUCGUAGGCUGGGGAUGGCUGGGCUGGGACCUAGGCAGAGCACGGAGCUCCCCCCACCAGUGCCGAUGCCAGAACAUUUGUCGCCUGGGCUAAGUGAGCACAAGUGGAUGGUAACUGCAGAUCAUCCUGCUGCAAGCUGGCCUGUGGUGAUAGCUAUUACUGGUACCCACACAGACGUGUGCUCUUCCGCUCUUGUAUUAGAACACCUCUUCGUAGGGGUUAGGGUUGAACAGUGCCGCAAUAAAUCAGGACCUGAAGAAAUCAUUGAACUGACUCUUCAAAAAAGAAUUGUUCGUGCAUAUAAGGCCAAGGUUUUUCAAGGUGACAAGAGUAAUGACAAAAAUUGCCAUGCUGUGUAAUGGUUGAGUGGGAGUUGGGGUGAGUUAUCUAGGAGACAACCAAUAAACAUCUGUUCUUAUUUUUCCA
rnacentral:lncRNA from 1 species